rnacentral:rRNA from 1 species
GACAGAGGGUGCAAACGUUGUUCGGAAUUACUGGGCGUAAAGAGCGCGCAGGCGGCUUGGCAAGUCGGGUGUGAAAUCCCGGGGCUCAACCCCGUGACUGCAUCCGAUACUGUCAGGCUAGAGGUAGGUAGGGGAGAUCGGAAUUCCUGGUGUAGCGGUGAAAUGCGCAGAUAUCAGGAGGAACACCGGUGGCGAAGGCAGAUCUCUGGGCCUGACCUGACGCUCAGGCGCGAAAGCUAGGGGAGCGAACAGG